GCUCAAAGCAAUGCGCGGUAGUUACGUUCUGAGAGAGGUACAUCGCUCGCUCCAAAACCAACACAUCAACAAGAGACUCCAAAGCACAACAAAAACCGCAACUCCGUCAAAGAAAACACUGACGAAAAAGCACGAUGUCAAGAACAAGAAGUCACCUACCUCGGACUCGGACAUUGUGGAAUGGAAUACGGCCAUCACCACCCACAUGCGCAGCGGCCAGUGCGAGUCCGCUCUCCGCAUCUUCAACGCCAUGCCACGCCGGAGCUCGGUCUCCUACAACACCAUGAUGUCUGGGUACUUGUCGAAUGGCAAGUUUGAUCUUGCGAGAGAUCUGUUUGAGAAAAUGCCUGAGAGAGACUUGGUUUCUUGGAAUGUGAUGCUUAGUGGGUAUGUGAGGAAUCGGAAUCUUAGUGCAGCUCGUGCUUUGUUUAAUCAGAUGCCCGAAAGGGAUGUUGUUUCGUGGAACGCUAUGUUGUCUGGGUAUGCCCAGAAUGGGUAUGUCGAUGAGGCGAGGAAAUUUUUUUAUAUGAUGCCGGAUAAGAAUGAGAUAUCAUGGAAUGGGUUGCUUGCGUCGUAUGUGCAGAAUGGGAGGAUAAGCGAGGCUGGUAUGUUGUUUGCGUCGAAAACGGAUUGGGAAGUGGUUUCUUGGAAUUGUUUGAUGGGUGGGUAUGUAAAGAGGAAGAGAUUGAUUGAUGCUAGACGGCUUUUUGAUCGGAUGCCUAACAGAGAUGAGAUUUCUUGGAAUACUAUGAUUACUGGUUAUGCCCAGAAUAGGGAGUUGUCUGAAGCUAGGAGAUUGUUUGAGGAGUCUCCAAUUAGGGAUGUGUUUACGUGGACGGCAAUGGUGUCUGGGUAUGUGCAGAAUGGGAUGUUGGAUGAAGCAAGAAGAUUUUUUGAUGAGAUGCCAGAGAAAAAUGAGGUUUCGUGGAAUGCAAUGAUUGCGGGAUAUGUGCAGUGCAAGAGAAUGGACAUGGCAAGAGAAUUGUUCGAGGCGAUGCCUUGUUGGAACAUAAGUUCUUGGAAUACAAUGAUUACUGGCUAUGCUCAGAGUGGGAAUAUUCCUCAAGCUAGAAAUUUGUUUGAUAGGAUGCCUCGGCGUGACUGUAUUUCUUGGGCAGCAAUUAUUGCUGGUUAUGCUCAAAGUGGUCAUGGCGAGGAGGCUUUGCAUCUAUUUGUAAAGAUGAAAAGGGAUGGGGAAAAAAUAAAUAGGUCUGCAUUUACCUGUUCUUUGAGUGCAUGUGCUGAUAUUGCUGCUCUGGAAUUGGGGAAGCAGUUGCAUGGGCGGCUAGUUAAGGCAGGAUAUGAAACUGGUUGUUAUGUGGGGAAUGCUCUUCUGGCAAUGUAUUGUAAAUGUGGAAGCAUAGAUGAAGCAUAUGAUGUGUUUGAUGAUAUAGCAGAAAAGGAUGUUGUGUCAUGGAACACAAUGAUUGCAGGAUAUGCGAGGCAUGGAUUUUGCAAGGAGGCUAUGAUGGUUUUUGAGUCAAUGAAGGCAGCGGGUAUCAAACCAGACGAUGUCACUAUGGUUGGUGUACUGUCUGCUUGUAGUCAUACUGGCUUGGUAGAGAAGGGCAGAGAGUAUUUUUAUUCAAUGGAUCACGAUUAUGGUAUAACAGCCAACUCAAAACACUAUACUUGUAUGAUUGAUCUUCUUGGUCGAGCAGGGCGACUGGAUGAAGCCCAGAAUUUAAUGAGAAGUAUGCCUUUCGAACCAGAUGCUGCUACAUGGGGUGCUCUACUUGGUGCAAGCAGGAUUCAUGGCCAUACUGAAUUAGGUGAAAAGGCUGCUGAGAUGAUUUUUGAGAUGGAACCUGAUAAUGCAGGAAUGUAUGUUCUUCUCUCAAAUUUGUAUGCAUCUUCGGGUAGAUGGGGCGAUGUUAGCAAGAUGAGAAUGAAAAUGAGAGAUAGCUGUGUUAGGAAAGUACCCGGGUAUAGUUGGCUUGAAGCACAGAAUAAGAUUCAUACAUUUUCAGUUGGAGACCACUUCCACCCAGACAAGGAUAGAAUAUAUGCCUUUUUAGAGGAGUUGAAUUUGAAAAUGAAGCUGGACGGGUAUGUUUCUUCUACAAAAAUGGUUCUACAUGAUGUGGAAGAGGAGGAGAAGGAACAUAUGCUGAAGUAUCACAGUGAGAAAUUAGCCGUGGCAUUUGGAAUUCUUUCUAUACCAGCUGGGAGACCAAUCCGUGUGAUAAAAAACUUGCGGGUAUGUGAAGACUGUCACAAUGCCAUCAAACACAUAUCCAAGAUUGAGGGAAGGUUGAUAAUCUUAAGGGAUUCUCAUCGCUUUCACCACUUCAGUGGUGGUUCAUGCUCAUGUGGAGAUUACUGGUGAGAUUACAAGUGAUUUUUAUGAAGUGGAAAAGCUCCAUUGGAACAUUGGUUACAUUGCAACUCUAUGCCCUGGACUUAGUAAACCUUGCAGAUUGACAACUAUUACGUUCAAUUUGGGAAGAUCAGAGGUGGAUUGGAUUUGAAAAUGAAGCUGGACGGGGUUUUACCAAGAACGAUCGAGCGGUGCAAUGUUGCACAGAACUAUCGAUCAUGGCAGCGAACCUUCACCCGAUCUCCCACAUUACCCCUAUCAGCAAGGCCAGAGCUCAAUUCCUCUACGCGUUAUGGUCGCAAGUGCCCAUUGACUUCUCCUCCCAUGCCGUCAGCGUGAUGUAGGCCAUCCACCGGCAAAAGAGCCCAAAGUCAUUACCUUUUGGGGGAUUGAUCACUCGUAUCGCCCGAGCAGCAGGUGUCACAAUUUCAUCGACAGAGAAUAUCAUGCAACCCGUAGCCACAUUCAACCGUGCCACCGUCAGAAGGAGUGUUGCCCACUGAAAAACUAAGGAUCAGGUUCCAAUCCCAAAUCAAGCACACAAUAUUAAUAAUUUACGUGUAUUAAGAAAUGUGUUAAGAAAAGAUGUUGAAUAUUGCACGGUUAUGAAAACAAAGGAUUACUAAUAUUAUGAAUGCUAUGCACUAAUGAUGAAAUGAGAAUAAGAGAUUAAUGUAUUAGGACAAGUCCUAAGCAUAACUUCUAAGGGAC